UUCAAAGCUGAAGUGGACCAAGUCCAUAAUAGCGAUGUUUUUCGAUAGACCCUGCAUGAUACUCUUCAAAGGUCAUUAUUUUCAGUGCAGUAAUGAAGCAAGUCCUUACUAAGUUUUUUAAGCUAUAGAUGGAGCGGAUGUAUUUCUCCUGAGAAUUAUGUCGCAUAUCGUUCAGAGCAUUAGUGAACCAAGUCCAAGUUACAUUGUUCACGCUUUUUCUGUGUGAGAAUAUGAGUGUUAUGGCGAAUACCAAUGAAGAUGAAGUUUCAGAUUCAGAAGAUGAUGUACCCCUGAUUCAAUUUUUACAACCCAUCCAAAGACUACGUACAGCAGAAGUUCGAAAUGACAAACGAUGCAGUGGUUCGCGAAGUAGGAGAACGUGGUCGGAAAAGAGCUCGAAACGAAGCGAAUUGGGACAGG